CUGAUAUUUGUCAACAUCUGAGAGAGCUGCUGAGGAUACGAAAUUGGUUGGAUUGUGGUGGUAGAUCUUCUUCCAACUUCCAAUGCAUAGGGCAGUACCCAUGUGCCAAUUUCAUAGCCAAAACACAAGGUUAAUGUAAUAGCUGGGGCUAUGGCCACCAUAGUGGGCCAUGAGGAGGAUCAUUCUACAUGACUGGUGAAGCAAAGAACAAGAAAAGGAGCUGAGGUACUGAAUGAUUUCAUGGCUUCACCAUAGCAGCCCUGGAUUGCUAUAUCUAUAUAA